UGGCUCAGAUUGAACGCUGGCGGCAGGCCUAACACAUGCAAGUCGAGCGGUAGAGAGGUGCUUGCACCUCUUGAGAGCGGCGGACGGGUGAGUAAUACCUAGGAAUCUGCCUGNNNGUGGGGGAUNNCGUUCGGAAACGGACGCUAAUACCGCAUNCGUCCUACGGGAGAANGCAGGGGACCUUCGGGCCUUGCGCUAUCAGAUGAGCCUAGGUCGGAUUAGCUAGUNGGUGAGGUAAUGGCUCACCAAGGCAACGAUCCGUAACUGGUCUGAGAGGAUGAUCAGUCACACUGGAACUGAGACACGGUCCAGACUCCUACGGGAGGCAGCAGUGGGGAAUAUUGGACAAUGGGCGAAAGCCUGAUCCAGCCAUGCCGCGUGUGUGAAGAAGGUCUUCGGAUUGUAAAGCACUUUAAGUUGGGAGGAAGGGCAUUAACCUAAUACGUUAGUGUUUUGACGUUACCGACAGAAUAAGCACCGGCUAACUCUGUGCCAGCAGCCGCGGUAAUACAGAGGGUGCAAGCGUUAAUCGGAAUUACUGGGCGUAAAGCGCGCGUAGGUGGUUUGUUAAGUUGAAUGUGAAAUCCCCGGGCUCAACCUGGGAACUGCAUCCAAAACUGGCAAGCUAGAGUAUGGUAGAGGGUAGUGGAAUUUCCUGUGUAGCGGUGAAAUGCGUAGAUAUAGGAAGGAACACCAGUGGCGAAGGCGACUACCUGGACUGAUACUGACACUGAGGUGCGAAAGCGUGGGGAGCAAACAGGAUUAGAUACCCUGGUAGUCCACGCCGUAAACGAUGUCAACUAGCCGUUGGGAACCUUGAGUUCUUAGUGGCGCANNUAACGCAUUAAGUUGACCGCCUGGGGAGUACGGCCGCAAGGUUAAAACUCAAAUGAAUUGACGGGGGCCCGCACAAGCGGUGGAGCAUGUGGUUUAAUU
rnacentral:rRNA from 1 species